UGGCUCAGUGGUAGAGCGCUUGCCUUGCAUGCAUGAGGUCCUGGGUUCGAUUCCCCAG
rnacentral:tRNA from 1 species